rnacentral:lncRNA from 1 species
GAGGGAUUUUCGCUGUGUUUCCCAAGUGGGCCUCGAACUCCUGGGCUCAAGUGAUACCCCCCACCUCAGCCUCGUGACUAGCUGGGAUUAAAGGUGUGCACCACUGCAACUGACUUUCAAUUCCUUUCUGACCAAAAUCUUUUAUUUCUAAAAAGAAAUCAAAGAAGUUAAAAUUCUAUAAAUGAUUAGUUACUGCUGUGCUUAAUUUAAAUGUUAUUUAUGAUUAUUUUUAUAGCUAAGAUCAUUGUUUCAUCUUUAGACAUCAAUGACCUCUUUAUAUAUUAAUGCUAUAAAAUGUUUCUUUGAUAAUUAUUUUUGAUAUUGCUUUUCCUAAAUAUAGGUUCCAAACACUUCAUAAUAAAAAUUUUAAGAUAUUAUUUUGUCUUAACUAUCUUUGGGGUUUCCCAGGAGUCUUCUGAGACACAAAAGAUUUGUUCCAAACUUUAUUAAAUGAAUAAUGCUACAAA